CCUAAGUCUCCGAAAUAAAUCAGUCCCUGUAAUCUGCUUCCUGUGGCCCUCUGUGACUACAGCAUGAUAGGAGGUGUCGUAAUCAUCAUAACAUCUUUGCCCUGAGCAUCAGUACAUAAAAGCAGGCGCUUAGCACGGGGCAGCUGCCAGGUCAAUCCAAGCCAGAGGCUAAGGGAGGGCUUUGCCAAAAUGACUCUGAGUGGCACAGAGCUAUAUCUGGGGGCUUCACCACCUGAGGGUGAUUCAAGAAACAGGUCCAAGAUGCUGGGUUAGCAAGGAAAGACAGACUCUGGGUAAUUACGUUCACGACUUGAAUGCCGUGUGCUUCUUCUGGACAGAGUUCUCCACAUCCUACCAUCUAUGCUCAGUCACCUCCACCCACUGCAACUUGGGACCCAUCCUCCACUCCAUGCUCCUCAAAGGUCUCCAGACCCUUUUCCCAUCCUAAAUCCCAUGGUUUCCUCUCCUUGAAAUAUCUGACCCACAUUAUAUGCCUUGAAGCUUUAAUCUUCUGUUUCUUUCUUUCCACAUCUCCAGCAAUCUUUCCUGAUUCACUUAUUCUUCAAUUUAUUCAAUAAAUAUUUAUUGAGAACUUAUUUUGUUCCAGGCACUGAGCUAGAGAUGUAGGGAACACAAAAUGACCAAUUCCUAGACCUUACUCUCAAGAGCUUAGAAAGAGAGCUAGUUAUGUAUGCAAGUGAGUUACGAUAACACAGGAUCAAUGUAAACAUUCAUUCAUUGAUUCAAAAGGAUUGCUGAGCACCUACUAGGUGCCAAGCACAGCUCCGAGAACUAAGGAUACAACAAUUAACAAAACUGAUAAAGAUUCUUCCUUUAUUAAGUAUAUACUAAUGGAGGAGAAAAACACUAUAUGAGUAAGAUAUAGAGUGGGUCAAAAUAUAAUGUGUUAUGGAGAAAAAUAAAGUAUGAAAGGAGCAUAGGGAGAGGCCUGGUGGAGGGAGGGUUUGCAGUUUGCAAUGGAUUGAUCACGGAAAAGCUUGCUAAGACAGAGACAUUUGCACAAAAACUUUGCUGGGCAUGGUGGCUCACGCCUGUAAUCCAGGCACUUUGGGAGGCCAAGGCGGGCAGAUUACCUGAGGUCAGGAGUUCAAGACUAGCCUGGCCAAAAUGGCAAAACUCUGUCUCUACUAAAAAUACCAAAAAAAUUAGCUGGGCAUGGUGGUGGACACCUGUAUUCCCAGCUACUCGGGAGGCUCAGGCAGGAUGAAUUGCUUGAACCCAGGAGGUGGAGGUUGCAGUGAGGCAAGAUCACGCCACUGCAUUCCAGCCUGGGCGACAGAGCAAGACUCUGUCUCAAAAAAAAAAAAAAAAAAAAAAAAAAAAACUAGAUAAGGUAAGGGAAUAAGCCUUGUACAUAUCUGAGGGAAAGAUUUCUGGCCAGAAGGAACAGCAAAUGGGAAGGCCCUGAGGCAGGGGGGUGUCCAGUGUCCUGGGACAGUGAGAAAGGUGAGAGUGGUGAAAGGCGAGGUCAGAUGUGUAGGGCGGGGGAAAGGCAAGAGUGUAGGGCCUGUGGUCCCUCAGAGGUCUGGGAGUUCCGCUCUGCAUGAGACAGGAAACCACCAGACAGUCGGAACAAAGGAAUAACAUGAUCUGAACUACACGCUGAAAAGAUACCUGUCCUGCAUGUAAAAUAGACUCCUGGAACACAGGCAGAAGCAAGGAAACCCACCACGGUCAUGCAGGAUAGAGUUGGGGGUGGCUCGGAGCAGGGGAAGUGGUGGAAGAGAUACAAAAUGGUUGAAUUUGGGGGACAUUUCAAAGGCAGAACUAACAGAUUUAGUGCUGGAUUCCACGUAAGAGCUCCGCGGAGGUAGGAGCCAAAGAACCCACCAAAGUGCCCCCGAGACAAUCGGCUUCAAAUGCCUGCCAGCCCAGGUUCCACCGCCAGCUGACAACAUCGCUAGUCAACUAAGGCCUUCCCUGGCUGGACCCCUCUCUCCCUAGCCCGUCCCACCUUCUCCCUGAAAGACGAUCCAAAAUCGUGGCCUCAUUCUGCAGAUGAGGGAGGAGGGGUAUGAUGCACGUUGGAGAAAAAGAGAAGAGGCCAACCAGGCCUCCUUUUGCACAAUGCCAAUGGCCAACCUUCAGUUGGCCCAAGCUGGGGGAAGAGAAGAAGCAUUAACGUUGAAUGAAAUUACGGAUUAUAUUUUUACACUGGCCUGGACAUGCUAACAGGAAGACCUACUGUUAACUAAAA
ensembl:lncRNA